rnacentral:rRNA from 1 species
GCGGACGGGUGCGUAACGCGUAUGCAACCUACCCUCUACAGGGGGAUAGCCCGGGGAAACCCGGAUUAAUACCCCAUAAUGUAAUGAUGUCACAUGGCAUUAUUAUUAAAGAUUUAUCGGUAGAGGAUGGGCAUGCGUCUGAUUAGUUAGUUGGUGGUGUAACGGACCACCAAGACGAUGAUCAGUAGGGGGUCUGAGAGGAUGAUCCCCCACACUGGCACUGAGACACGGGCCAGACUCCUACGGGAGGCAGCAGUAGGGAAUAUUGGUCAAUGGACGAGAGUCUGAACCAGCCAUGCCGCGUGCAGGAAGACGGCCUUCUGGGUUGUAAACUGCUUUUAUCAGGGAACAAAUAGGCCAUGCGUGGCAAGUUGAGUGUACCUGAUGAAUAAGCACCGGCUAACUCCGUGCCAGCAGCCGCGGUAAUACGGAGGGUGCAAGCGUUGUCCGGAUUUAUUGGGUUUAAAGGGUGCGUAGGCGGAUGUUUAAGUCAGUGGUGAAAGUUUGCGGCUCAACCGUAAAAUUGCCAUUGAUAC